AGAUCCUUGUCGGCCACAUCCACGAAAUACAGAAGGAAAAGGCCAUCCUCACGUCCAACCUGCCCACUCUCAUCAGAGCGACGUCCGACGACGACCUGCUGUCUACGACGGAUCACGACGGCGAGUUUGGCAGUUCAGACGACCUGAGCGCCGGCGCCGCAUCGCUGCGCUCCCAGCGUCUGUUACAUCGCCAGCUCUCCUCAGACGACCCUAUCAUGGUGUAAUGACGCCACCGCCAUCGCCGCUACUGCACCACCCCGCCAUCCCACCUAUCCAUCACUCAUUCAACAAGCCAACCUGACUAUCCGUCACCCAGACAACCUGCUUAUCCGUUACCUAGCCAAUGUACCGAUUCGUGACCAGUACAAUCUACCAAUUCGUCACUCAGCCGACCUGCCUAUUCAUAAUUCAGCCUACUUGCCAAUUCGUCACCCAGCCAACUUGUCAAUCCAUCAUCACAUCAAUAUGCCAACUCAUCAACUUACCGCCAAUAAAAAUAUUUACAUAGUGCUAUUCUCACAAUGCAAUAUAACUAUGACUGAUGUACAUAGAAUACCAAUUCUUGCGUACAACUUGAUUAUUGUAAGUUUGCACAUCAUAUCGAUGACGUCGUGUCAACACUUGGCUUCUGUUAUUUUUUAUAUACACUACUAUUGGACACCAGCAGCCUGUCUUAUGGUCGGGUCAAUUAGUCAUGUUUACAUUUUAAUCAAGUUCUGUUGAAACAGGCUGUAAUGUUCCUCAUCAGUUCCUGUAAGUGUAAACUUAAUAUGACCGAGUUGUACGAUGUUGAUACAUAAACACCUACAUUUCUAAUGUUAUUAAUUCUCAGAAUAGGAUAAAGCAUUACUAUUAUAAAGCGUUAAGUACGAGUGGUAUUCUACAAUAGGAGGCCCCAUCUCAUAAAUCAUCAGAUAACUAAAUUAUCCGCCUGUGAUUUUAAAAAACUAAUAUUAAAAUACUUGUUGAUAGAUUUCGAGUGAUUUUCAUGUUUUUUUUUUUUGUAAUAAAUUUAUUAUCAGCAAUAAUAUUUCUAAUUGUUGAGCAUUAUUAUAAUGUCAAUCUAUUGCAAUGUUUAUACGACCAUAACAUUAAUACAUAUCCCUAUUGUAGAUGUUUUGAAACGGUCAUUCAUUUAUGGUAUUUUACCUUUGUUUUGUAAUUCUAAACAAAGAAAAAGGCCUCUUAAGAGAUUUUCUACUAAAAAUUAUGUAGGGUCGGAAGAAAAUAUAGAAAAGGUGAAAAACAUAAUUUUGCUAUAGACAAUUCGUGAACAUUUAUUCUACUUGAAAAUGAAAGAAAGAUUUAUGUAAUUCAGCAUUCCAAGAUUUUAUCCCAAAAGAAUAUCUUUAUUCCCCGUCCUUACAGUAAACGUAAGCGAUCUUAAGCUGUUGAUGCUGAUUUACAGUAUAGAAAAUAAAAUAUAUUUUAACUAACAUUUUUAAUAUGUAGACGGACUGUUUUCAGAAACAACAUUUUAAAAGUAUAAUCUUCCAUAUCGAUAAAGAGUUUAUUGUGUAGAAAUCUCUAUAAAAUAAUUCUAAUUAUAUUAAUAGAGACAGGUGUGCAUUUAAUUUUUUCGUGAACGACAUUGACUUAUUUAAUAUCUUCAACUUUAAUAUAAACAAACCAGGUAGGCAGAAUAGGAAUUGAAAUUUUAAAUACUUAUUUUCUAAUUUACCAUCUAAUCACUAUGAUGUUAUUACUUCUAAGUAAUAAAUAAUAUAUAUAAAGUUUUAAAUUAUCCAUGAAAGAUCUUCAUAAACUGUAGCUAGGAACCAUCUUUAUCUCGUCAGCUUUCAAAUAAAAAACCUCAUCAUAUUCGGUCCGUUCGUUUAGGAGCCAUACCAUAAAUACGCCAUACUUGAACAACUUUCUUUUAGUGUGUCACUUUUAGUAUGUUAAAAAACUUAAACAUACUAAUAGUAAUACAUUGAAGUGCACUUUAAUAAAAUUUUUCACUAUACAGUUUCCGUAAAUUUAUUGUGUAUGUAUAUGUAUAUUUAUUUACUUUCAUUUAUAUAUGCAUACCUUGUCCAUGAUUGAACGAUAUAUGAUUUAUUCGUUUUAAAUAUAAAUAAUUAUUUAGAAUUCGAUUUAGCUUAUUUUUAUUUGAUGUUAUAGUUGUUGAUAGACAUACUCGACGUUGUUACUGUGUUAAGUCUUCUUGCCGUUGAUAGCUCGAUUUGGAAUGAGUAAUUGAAAUUAAAUUAUAUUUUAAGAUGAUAUAUUGUUGCUCUGUAUAGAAAGGCAAGUGUGGACGACGCCGAAAAUGCUAUUAUCUGAUAUAUACUAUUAUUGUACUUAAAACCUAUGAGCUUAUUCGUGUAGAGUACUGAGGCUACACCCUAUUUCUGGUACUUUAGACAGAGAAUGCGCAUUUGAACAAUAAUAUUUUAACAUAAUACGACAUAGAGUAGAUGGAUAACUCCUUGAAAACGGCUUGUUUUCAACCGACUUCAAAAAGAAGGACGUUCUCAAUUGGGUUAUAUUUUUUUUUUUGUUACCUCGUAACUCCAUCAGUUCUAAAUGAUUUUGAAAAAUUAUUUUUAUCUGAAAGGAUAUACUUACAAAUAAAAAUCGGUUCAAUUGAUUAGUUUUUAGAUUAAAAUAACUGGUAUUGUCACAACUGAAGUCGGUUUUUGUGAAACAAACUUUAUAUUACUACAAAAUAACAAAAAGGGCCCUUUGACAUCUGAUUCCGAGGCAUUCGUCCUAUUAAGUUUAAAUAUUCAAAAUCCAUAUGCGUUUGAAAGCUUUUUAGACUAAAGAUUUAUAACCUGUCUACCUAGUAAAAUAUCAUUACUGUCAUGUUUUACGAAAAAUGUUUUUGAAAAGUACUAAUUGAAUGUGAUAUUAUAUUUUACAAAAAAUGAUUAAGUAUUAGAAAAAUCUGGUAGUAAUUUUAAUUUACUCAGUAUAUAAUAGACUGCGAGGUAACACAAUGAGUGAAAAGAUUUUUGACCUCAAAUUCUACAAAAUUUGCCUAUAAAUAUUCGAUUAAGAUUCUAAUGUUCACGGUUAUGCUGUCUUUACACUGAUUCAACAUAGGCUCGUAAUGUGACGGCAAUUAUGCCGUAAUUUGAUCAAAAGUAAUUUAAUUAAUUUUUGAUUAAAUUAUAGUUUGUUGAAAAUGAUGUUUUGUCUCAAUAUUAUUAGCCCUCUCUUACAGUUCUUAUUCAUGACAGAGUUGUAUGGCUUUGAGGUAUUUUGUUCAAUAUUAUACCUAUAUUUAUGAUUAGAUUUUUAUCAGAGUAAGGAUAUGUUUGUACUGGGAUGAAAAAUUUCUCUGAAGCGGUUGACUAGUCCUAUCCGCCUCUAUAAAAUUAAAGCGCAUUUGAAGCCAGAUUUUUAUUCGAAGAAUUUAUGUUCCUUGAAAGGGUAUGUAACUGUACAUAAGAUACGAUUUAUUCUGAAUAUCCACUCUAUAAAAUAUGCACUCAAAAUAUCGCGAGUAUUUAGAUUUGCUAGAGCUGCCAAUCUCUUACUGAUAACAGACUUGUUUUGAUCGUUGAACUGGGUUUCAUUAUUCACGAGUAUACUGGGCUCGGGUCUGAUUUCUCUAUUCACCAUGGGUGAUGUGGCUUGUCGAUGGUAUUUUAUUUAUUUGUGUACAAGGGACUAUACUAUGCGAUCUUUAACUCUGCCUAUCUUUCUCAUUAUUAGCAUAAUUUUAUAUUUUAAAAUAAUCCAUAUGUUUAAAAAAUAUUCACCAUUUAUAAUAAUCGGCAAUUUAGAUAUCUAUAGUCACAAAACUGAAAAAAAUACCAUGCUCAUUAUUAUCAUUCAUAUUAUUCAACACCUAUUUUUAAUUAUAUAUAUUCGUUCCUUAUAGUUGCUUUAUAAUUUACUGUUUUUAUAUUCAAAAAGACUGUCUACUGAUAAGCUUAAAUUUAUCGUUAUGUAAGUCACAAAUAUUUUACCUGCUCUUAAAUUAGUUUGUAACUUUUACUGUCAAAAACAACGAAUAUCUCUGUGAAAUCAUUAUAUGCUUAUAAUUAAUGAACUUCUAUGCGAAAUGGCAUAACAUAGCUCAAUAAAUUAAGUGACAAACAAUGUCUAAUAAUAUUCUUUUUAGCUUUUUACUUUAAUCAAUAUAAUCAUACAAAAAGUAUAUGAAUAAUGAAAUAAUUAUGAAUUAAAUAUACUUAUUUAAACAAAAACGCUCUUUAUAUGUAACAUUUUCUCGCAAAUGUAAUUCUUAAGCGAUCGAGUCUAACAAAACCAAUUUCCAAAUAACCAAUAAUUCUGCAGGCUACUCUCCAUAGUUCGCAAAGAUUGUCUCAUGAUCUGCAGUGAUUAUUUGAUUUCUGUUAGACUUUGUUGUUUCGGAGACUGCUUUUCUGGCAAUAAAAUUAUCUUCAAUUGUGAUUUUAAACUUUGAAAAUAUUAUGAAAGUAUGUAUAAUAUAUACGCAUAUAGCAUAAGCAUAUACAGAUGCCGAUAAUGUUCUGCAUUGCGAAUGAAAAUGUUUAGUUGUAUUUAUUGGGGUUGUGUCGCAGUAAUCUACUGUAUUUCUGUGCCUUCAACUAGUUUGCUUUCAGCAGUCCAUGUCUAAGAACGUUCAGCUGUUAGUUAACUGUUGUAAACCUAACUAUAGUGCUCUUAUAAGACCCGUAGUACUUACUAUUAAUAUGUAUCUAUUGAUAGUCUGCUUUGAAAUAUUAUUUUAUGGUAGUGAUUCGAUUAAUUAGACAAAAUUGAGAUUUUUCCAUCAUUUUAAUCACUCUUGAGAGGAACUCAUGAUAAAAAUAUAUCAUAAUUAUUAUUUUUAAAGAUUUAAUUAAGCGUGCAAUCUGGUAAUUUAAACACUAGAAGUGUAUGUAGAUAGUUGACGAGUUCCAUGCAAGAAUUCUGUAAAUAUAAUUAGAUACUAUAAUAAAAUCCAUAGGAAUACUUGUUCAUGUUACUUCCUAAAUUUCUAUUUUUAUUUAUGAAAGCAUUUGAAGUUGUAUUUGUUGUUACGUUACAAAAUUGAAUUGUGUAACAACCGGUGCCUAAUCAUUUUGUCUAUAAAACCUAGGAUUAUUUUUUAUUUGUUAAAUUUUACCCAGUAGUUGAUUAGAAUGUAAUAAGUAUCCUUAAAAAGAUACUGUGUUAGAUCUGUUGACAUAAUAAUGUUAAAUUGUAUAAUAAUACCUUGUGUGAAACUCUGUAAUUGAUAUCUUUUGAAGAGAUCAGUUGAUCGAAAUCUGUUCAAAAAUCUAUUAGGGUUACCGUUUUGUUAUGGUAGUUGAUAAUAAGACGAUUAUAACAAAAGUGAUGGAAUUUUUACAUGAUAUUAUCUGAUAUUCCUACUAUAUAGAGAUGCCUCUCUGUUUACUAUAAAUCUAUAGUUGUAUCUGCUAAGGACCAAUACUAUAUUAUACUGUUUACAAAUUGCCGUCGUGUACUCAUAUGUAGGUAUGUAUGUUAUCGAUUUGAGAUUUCGUACAAUUAUCGUUAAUGAAUCUUGUAUUAUAUUAUAAACAUGUAUAUUGUUCAAUUUAUUUUUAGGACUCUAUAAUAUUGUCAAUAUAAUGAAAUGUAACCAAAACAUUGUACUGUAUACAAUAUAAAAAAUAAACAAUUGCUGUGGA
rnacentral:lncRNA from 1 species